ACGAGCCGUGUGAGGUGAAAGUCUCAAGCACGGUUUUGCAUGGGAGGGGGAGAUGGUGACAUCUCUCUCGACCCCUAC
rnacentral:ncRNA from 1 species